UACGUAGGUGACCAGCGUUGUCCGGAUUUACUGGGCGUAAAGGGCGCGCAGGCGGUCGUUCAAGUCGAGUGUGAAAGCCCCCGGCUCAACUGGGGAGGGUCACUCGAUACUGAUCGACUUGAAGGCAGGAGAGGGAAGCGGAAUUCCCGGUGUAGUGGUGAAAUGCGUAGAUAUCGGGAGGAACACCAGUGGCGAAGGCGGCUUCCUGGCCUGUUCUUGACGCUGAGGCGCGAAAGCUAGGGGGAGCAAACGGG
rnacentral:rRNA from 1 species